UACGGAGGGGGCUAGCGUUGUUCGGAAUUACUGGGCGUAAAGCGCGCGUAGGCGGCUUUGUAAGUUAGAGGUGAAAGCCCGGGGCUCAACCCCGGAACUGCCUUUAAGACUGCAUCGCUUGAAUCCAGGAGAGGUGAGUGGAAUUCCGAGUGUAGAGGUGAAAUGCGUAGAUAUUGGGAGGAACACCAGUGGCGAAGGCGGCUCACUGGACCGGUACUGACGCUGAGGCGCGAAAGCGUGGGGAGCAAACAGG
rnacentral:rRNA from 1 species